GAGUUUGAUCCUGGCUCAGAGUGAACGCUGGCGGCGUGCCUAAUACAUGCAAGUCGAACGAUGAAGCUUCUAGCUUGCUAGAAGUGGAUUAGUGGCGCACGGGUGAGUAAUGCAUAGGUAACAUGCCCCUUAGUCUGGGAUAGCCACUGGAAACGGUGAUUAAUACUAGAUACUCCCUACGGGGGAAAGUUUUUCGCUAAGGGAUUGGCCUAUGUCCUAUCAGCUUGUUGGUGAGGUAAUGGCUCACCAAGGCUAUGACGGGUAUCCGGCCUGAGAGGGUGAUCGGACACACUGGAACUGAGACACGGUCCAGACUCCUACGGGAGGCAGCAGUAGGGAAUAUUGCUCAAUGGGGGAAACCCUGAAGCAGCAACGCCGCGUGGAGGAUGAAGGUUUUCGGAUUGUAAACUCCUUUUGUUAGAGAAGAUAAUGACGGUAUCUAACGAAUAAGCACCGGCUAACUCCGUGCCAGCAGCCGCGGUAAUACGGAGGGUGCAAGCGUUACUCGGAAUCACUGGGCGUAAAGAGCGCGUAGGCGGGGUAGUAAGUCAGAUGUGAAAUCCUAUGGCUUAACCAUAGAACUGCAUUUGAAACUACUACUCUAGAGUAUGGGAGAGGUAGGUGGAAUUCUUGGUGUAGGGGUAAAAUCCGUAGAGAUCAAGAGGAAUACUCAUUGCGAAGGCGACCUGCUGGAACAUUACUGACGCUGAUGCGCGAAAGCUGGGGAGCAAACAGGAUUAGAUACCCUGGUAGUCCACGCCCUAAACGAUGAAUGCUAGUUGUUGUGAGGCUUGUCCUUGCAGUAAUGCAGCUAACGCAUUAAGCAUUCCGCCUGGGGAGUACGGUCGCAAGAUUAAAACUCAAAGGAAUAGACGGGGACCCGCACAAGCGGUGGAGCAUGUGGUUUAAUUCGAAGAUACGCGAAGAACCUUACCUAGGCUUGACAUUGAUAGAAUCUGCUAGAGAUAGCGGAGUGCUGGCUUGCCAGAGCUUGAAAACAGGUGCUGCACGGCUGUCGUCAGCUCGUGUCGUGAGAUGUUGGGUUAAGUCCCGCAACGAGCGCAACCCUCGUCCUUAGUUGCUAGCAGUUCGGCUGAGCACUCUAAGGAGACUGCCUUCGUAAGGAGGAGGAAGGUGAGGAUGACGUCAAGUCAUCAUGGCCCUUACGCCUAGGGCUACACACGUGCUACAAUGGGGUGUACAAAGAGAAGCAAUACUGUGAAGUGGAGCCAAUCUCUAAAACAUCUCUCAGUUCGGAUUGUAGUCUGCAACUCGACUACAUGAAGCUGGAAUCGCUAGUAAUCGCAAAUCAGCCAUGUUGCGGUGAAUACGUUCCCGGGUCUUGUACUCACCGCCCGUCACACCAUGGGAGUUGUAUUCGCCUUAAGUCGGAAUACUAA
rnacentral:rRNA from 2 species